rnacentral:rRNA from 1 species
AAACGUCGGUCCCAGUUCGGAUCGCAGGCUGCAACCCGCCUGCGUGAAGCCGGAGUUGCUAGUAAUCGCGGAUCAGCAUGCCGCGGUGAAUACGUUCCCGGGCCUUGUACACACCGCCCGUCACACCACCCGAGUCGUCUGCACCCGAAGCCGCCGGCCGAACCCUCUUGGGGCGGAGGCGUCGAAGGUGUGGAGGGUGAGGGGGGUGAAGUCGUAACAAGGUAAC